GUCAAUGUGGAGGAUAUAUACAGGGGGUACUGGUAUAGAGUCAAUGUGGAGGCUAUAUACAGGGGGUACCGGUACAGAGUCAAUGUGGAGGAUAUAUACAGGGGGUACCGGUACAGAGUCAAUGUGGAGGAUAUAUACAGGGGGUACCGGUACAGAGUCAAUGUGGAGGAUAUAUACAGGGGGUACCGGUACAGAGUCAAUGUGGAGGAUAUAUACAGGGGGUACCGGUACAGAGUCAAUGUGGAGGAUAUAUACAGGGGGUACCGGUACAGAGUCAAUGUGGAGGCUAUAUACAGGGGGUACCGGUAUAGAGUCAAUG